GGGGUUGUGGCUCAGUGGUAGAGCGCUUGCCUUACACACAUGGAGCACUGGGUUCGAUCCUCAGCACUA
rnacentral:tRNA from 1 species